AAAUCUUAUUAAAUUAAACUGCAAAUUUAAAAUUGAUAAUUAAAAUUUAUCUAAGAUUUU
rnacentral:tRNA from 1 species